GAAAUGCGAUAAGUAGUGUGAAUUGCAGAAUUCAGUGAAUCAUCGAAUCUUUGAACGCACAUUGCGCCCUUUGGUAUUCCUUAGGGCAUGCCUUUUCGAGCGUCAUUUAAACCCUUCAAGCUCAGCUUGGUGUUGGGUGACUGUCCGCCGCCCCCGGGCGUGGACUCGCCCCAAAUCCAUUGGCGGCCGGUACGUAGGCUUCGAGCGCAGCAGAAACGCGAACUCGAGCCCGCGGUGUCGGCUCCCAGAAGCCAUCUCUUUUAUUUUGACCUCGGAUCAGGUAGGGAUACCCGCUGAACUUAAGC
rnacentral:misc_RNA from 1 species